rnacentral:lncRNA from 1 species
GUGGCUGCUGGCUGGGUCGCAGCCUGCAUUUCAACCCUUCUGGGCGAAAAGUGCUUCCUACUCAUCUGGCGCACGUGACGGUGCUUCGCUGUCUAUAUCUGUCCACAUGACGUGAGCAGCACACUCCCCUGCAAACCACCCACAGAUCACUCUGGAGCCGAAAAGCCCAGUUGCAGAGACUGCAAAGAAAAAUGAAAAGCCCCACAUUUGAAACACAGGAACAGACGAUACGCGGAAAAUUACUUACACUGAGCUGUGGGAAUAAUCAAACAAAGAGCGUAAACUUCAAAGGCAGCACUUCAUAUCCUUAAAAUUGAGGAGGCUGAGGAGAGGAAGAAGUGAGCGUGAGCCAUUAAUUCUGCUCUGUGAUUGCCCAUGCGUACACAUGACGUGGGUUCCCCAGCUUCCUGCAGCCCAACAUCUGUAACCGCAGCCCGGAUGCCCCCCCCUGCCCCACUUGUGUAAUCUGUGCCCCAUGAAGGCUGCUCGUCCCCUUCUGCAAGCCCUCAUCAUCUUGUGGGCCAACAGCACUUUGAACUGGGGCGAGGGGGAAAGUAAUACAUAAACUUUAAAGGUAGCUCAUCUACCGCGUGCAAUUUGUAUUUUACACCUCGUGAAUUUUAACUGCUGCAGUUGUAACUUCCCAUUAACCCCCUGUGUGUCGGCACUCCUGCCCUGACCCUCGGAGGGCAGCAGCAGCAGGGAGCUGCAGCAUGGCUCUCCUCACAUCCCACAGCGAUGGAGCAGGAUUUUCUCCCAUUUCCUAAAAGAUCUCAGUCACUUGUGAGAGCUCUUCCCUUCACGUGCAUUCAGGCUGAGUAUUAGAAGAGCAAAUGCCCUCCAGAUACUGCUAAAUGGCUGCUUAAAAAUGAAACAGCAAACAUAAAAGCACAGAUGACUGCAGAGCAGAGUUAAAAAUCAAAGCACUACUGGCAAGCCUUGCACACCGGACGGCUGCACAGUUGAUCUGCAGCCAUUAUUUAUGCUGCCGUUAAAAAUUGUUAUUGGGACUCUAAAAAAGCCUCCUCCAAACACGCAGUGAAAUCAGAGGGAUGCUGGCUGCUAUGGCAUGCAGCCACACAUGGGGUGAGCCCUGGGACCUCUGCUCCGUAGCGGCAUUUCAUUACGGGCACUGAGACUAUUAAACCAAUUUCCGAGCGCUCGGGUGUGAGAUGUUUGUGGGAUUUCCCCAGCUGAACAAAUCAGCUUAGAAGUCUGCAAUUCAUUAAGCAAGAUAUCAGGAGAAAGCCGCGUAUGCUCUCCUUUUGCUGUGCCUGCGGUCCCUAACUUCCAUCUCCCUCAGCACAGCGG